AUGGCGUCUCUAUCCUCACUGAGGAAUUUUAGCCUCUGGAUCCUCAUCCACACCAUGGAUACUGAUGUUCAGGAUUUGUCUUUGAAAAGAUUCACCGCAAGUGUCCUGUCCGAGGUACAGCUGCAGGAGUCGGGCCUAGGACUGGUGAAGCCCUCGCAGUCCCUCUCCCUCACCUGCACCGUCUCUGGUUACUCCGUCACCAAUAAUUAUGGUUGGAUCUGGAUCCGCCAGCCUGAGGGGAAGAGCCUUGAGUGGAUGGGAUACAUUAGUUAUAGUGGAAGCACAGGUUAUAACCUGUCGCUCAAGAGCCGCACCUCCAUCUCCAGAGACACGUCCAAGAAUCAGUUUUUCCUGCAGCUGAGCUCUGUGACCGACGAGGACACAGGCGUGUAUCACUGUGUGAGAGACACAGUGACAGGAAGUCAGCAGGAGCCCAGACACAAACCUCCCUGCAGGAUACAAUAG